ACAUUUCUUUGAUAACAUCAGACGGUACAAUUCUAUGUUUGCCAUGACUUCUAUGGGCGUCAAUGUCAUAAAUUCUAUCAACGAUGGCCGUGGCCCUUAUGUCUUCAAAAUUAGUGGCCAACUAUGUCAUCGAAUAGGAUCACUAAUUCCAAACGAUGAAGCAAGACCUGAGUAUUGCCAGUUAUAUAUCUUUGACACUGAUAAUGAGGUUAGAAACAGAAUAGCUGUUGCAACAACCUCAAACAGUGACUUUCAACCAAACGAAGCUAUUGUUGCUUCCUUGAUAACCAUGCUUGAUACACACAACUCAGUUGUGCAAGUUUUUCGAACUGCCCGUGAUAGACUAUCUAUGCAGCCAAACAACCAAUCUGGUGAACCAGACGAUCGUUAUGCUGUCAAGCUAUUUUCCACCCCAACCCAGCAUGGCAACAUUUAUAGUGACCCAGUUACAUCUGAAGUGGUCGGCUUGGUUGUGAAUGAUUUAGGGACCACUGAAGAGGGGCGCGACCUAAUAGUGCAAGAUCACUCAUGUCAGCUCCAAAGAGUGAAAGAAACACAUUGCAAAUUUAUGGCAAUGCAAUAUCCACUGUUGUUUCCUUACGGAGAAGAUGGCUUCCAUGAGAAUAUUAAGUAUAGAAGAUGUAGUCGCUCCAACAAGAUCAAGCGAAAGGUUGUCACCAUGGCAGAAUAUUAUUCAUACAGAUUGCAUGAUAGAGCCGACGAUUUCAAUACCCCUUUGCGAUCCAAGAGACUAACCCAAGCUUAUGAAGUUGAUGCGUACUGUUGUGUCGAGGAUGACCGCCUGAGAUAUUACAGGAAGAAAUCAUUUCAAAAAAAAUACAGGUCCAGCCCAUAUAAAGCUUUAGUUGAAGCGGUCAGUAGUGGGAUCACUCAAGGUUCAGCUGCAGGGCAACGAAUUUACUUGCCAGGAUCAUUCACUGCAAGCCCCCGCUACUACUACCAAAACUAUCAAGAUUGUGUUGCACUAUGUCGUAGGUUCGGAUGCCCACAUCUAUUCAUCACAUUCACAUGUAAUGCUUUGUGGCCAGAAAUUGAUGAAGCUUUGGCAUUCAUACCAGGGCAACAGACUUCUGAUAGACCUGAUAUUGUUGACAGAGUUUUUGAAAUGAAACUCAAACUACUCAUACAAGAUAUAGAGAAGUAUGAAUUCUUUGGACCUAUACUUGGAGUUGUCUACACAAUUGAGUUCCAAAAACGAGGCCUUCCACAUGUCCAUUUGAUUCUAUGGCUUAAAAAAGAUAAGCCUAUUGAUGCUGCUCAAAUAGAUGCCUUUAUAUCCGCACAACUGCCAAAUCCAUCUGUUGAUCCGUUAGGUUUUGAGGCCGUUUCUAAGUUCAUGAUUCAUGGUCCUUGCGGAUCCUUAAAUACGUCCUCCCCUUGCAUGGUUGAUGGAAAAUGUGAUAAGUUCUAUCCAAAGAAUUUUUCUGAAACCGCUACUAUAGCAGGUAAUGGUCAGGUUACUUACGCCCGCCCAAAUAAUGGUAUUACUACUGAGAAAAAUGGAGUAAGAAUUGAUAACACAUUUGUGGUACCGCACAAUGUAGACUUAUUGGUUAAAUAUCAAGCACAUAUAAAUGUUGAAAGUGUUAAUCGCAAUGGAAUGGAAAAGUAUUUGUUCAAGUAUACAAACAAAGGACCUGAUUGUGCCAAAGCUGCACUCAAGAGAAAAAGAGGCAAUCCAGACUCUCCUACGGAGAUAAUUGAUGAAAUAAAGGAAUAUCUAGACUGCAGAUAUGUUACUCCCAACGAUGCUGCAUGGCGAUUGCUUCAGUUUGAUAUCCAUUACACUAAUCCAUCAGUAGAACGCCUUGCUGUUCAUCUCCCGCUACAAAAUGGUGUUCUUUAUACAGAGGAUGACUAUCUUGAUCAGGUCAUUGAGAAUCCAUCUAAUCUCAUAACUAAGCUAACGGCAUGGUUUGAUGCCAAUCAACAAUAUCCAGAAGCCAGACAGUACACCUAUGUUGAAUUUCCUGAACACUGGACAUGGCAUGGUGAUGGAAAAUAUUGGCAUAUACGCCGAAAUAGUCGUGGGAAGGUUGGUCGAAUUGCUAAUGUUGCUCCUAACGAAGGAGAAAGAUUUUACCUGCGCAUGUUGUUGCAUAUAGUCAAAGGAGCACAAAGCUAUUCUGAUCUCCGCACUGUUGCCGGCCAUAAGCACCCAACAUUUCGUGCUGCAUGUGAAGCAUUGGGCUUGCUGGGUGACGAUCAAGAAUGGUUCCAUGCUAUGGCUGAUGCAGCACACUGGGCACUUCCCUAUCAAUUGCGACAGCUGUUUGUCACAUUAUUGCUUUUUUGUGAAGUCACCAACCCUGUCAAAUUGCUUGAUGAGUACACAUAGGCAAUGGGAGAAGAUAUUGCAUAUCAUGCGAAACAACUGACUCCAGAACUCCCUACAACAACCAUGGACCAACAUAUCAGAUCAUAUGUCUUAGUUGAAUUAGAAAAACUGCUCAAAGAUGCUGGAUAUAGCUUAGAUCACUUUCACUUACCACAACCAGACCACAGUUCCUCUCGGAUUCUCACCAAUAGAUUCAUUAUGGAAGAACUUAGUUAUAAUUCAAAUGGUGCAUUUGCUGAACUAGAUGAGCAGAUCAAGAGACUGAAUUCAAGCCAGAAACAUAUUUAUGAUACCAUAGAGCAUUCAGUCUUAAAUGGUUGUGGGCACACUUUCUUUGUUUAUGGUUAUGGUGGGACUGGCAAGACUUUUCUAUGGAAUACUUUGCUCAAUAGUAUUAGAAGCCAAGGAAAGAUAGCUUUAGCAGUUGCAUCUUCAGGCAUAGCAGCUCUGUUACUCCCAGGAGGUCGAACACCCCACUCACGUUUCAGAAUUCCAUUGGACAUCCACGAGCAUUCUGUCUGUGCAAUUAAGAAAAAUACACAGUUGGCUGAGCUAAUACAACAGACAUCCCUGAUUAUAUGGGAUGAAGCACCUGUCAACCAUAGACAUUGCUUCGAAGCACUUGAUCGCACACUAAGAGAUAUCAUGUCGUUCAAUAAUGAUGAUGCUUCCACCAAACAAUUUGGUGGUAUAACAGUUGUGCUUGGUGGUGAUUUUAGGCAAACUUUGCCGGUCAUCCCAAACGCAAGGAAACAACAAAUCAUGAAUGCAGCAAUCACUCGAUCCCGUAUAUGGCCGUGCUGCAAAGUUCUUGAAUUAACUGAAAACAUGAGACUCAACUGCCCAACUCUUUCAGGCCCUGAAAGAAUUGAAUUGCAGAAAUUUGCUGAGUGGCUCCUCUCUAUUGGUGAUGGCACAACUCCUGGCAGUACAAUAGAUCAACCUGAUACAACAUGGGUUCCAAUUCCAGACAACCUUCUAUUGCCACCUGAACAAAGGAACCUUACAGGAUUGAUUUCUUUUGUAUAUGAAACAACUCCACGUGUCACGGAAUUAGCAGCCUAUCUCUGUGAACGAGCAAUAUUGGCACCAACAAAUGAAGUCGCUGCCAUGAUAAAUAAAGAGAUUAUUUGUAAGAUAGCCACAGAAGAAAUGUCAUACUACAGUUCUGAUUCCAUUGAUGAUCCGACAUCAAAUUAUUGCACUAUGGAAUCUCUGUACCCACAAGAGUUCCUUAACACUAUCCAAAUGAGUGGCCUUCCUGACCAUCAUCUACAACUGAAGAUUGGUGUCCCUAUCAUGUUACUUAGAAAUCUGAAUCCAUCCAAAGGUUUGUGCAAUGGAACUAGACUCAUAGUGACACAACUCACUCAUCGUAUAAUUGAAGCUCAGAUAAUCACAGGAAAGGCUACAGGAUCUAAAGCUUACAUUCCAAGAAUAACUUCUGUCUCAUGUGAUCCAAAAUGGCCUUUUAAGAUAAAGCGUCGUCAAUUCCCAGUCCGUGUAUCCUAUGCCAUGACAAUAAACAAAAGCCAAGGACAAACACUUAGCAAAGUUGGCGUCUAUUUACCAAGCCCCGUAUUCUCUCAUGGGCAGCUUUAUGUUGCAUUCUCACGUGUGACAUCACCUACAGGCUUACGUGUGCUCAUUGAGAACAACUCUGAGGGGUAUGAAAACCACACACAUAACGUGGUAUACACUGAGAUUUUCAAUGACCUAACAAGCCGGAGUAAUUAUUAGUUCCAGGUCUUCUACUUUUGGCUGUUUCCAUUCCAAACCACUUGAUCAUCUAUUCCUCCGUUGAUCAAUUAUAUUCUACCAAUAUGCUUAUAGCCAGUCUAACAUGUAUAUCCAAUUAGUUCAUAGGUGUUUCCAAUUCACUAUAUGACAUACUUUAGCCGUGUAUGUUUUUGUCAGUGCAACAACAAUGGAAAUAUGUCUCUUC